AUGGCAUGUUAAGGUGGCAGAGCCCGGUAAUUGCAAAAGACCUAAGCCCUUUCAACAGAGGUUCAAGUCCUC
rnacentral:tRNA from 1 species